rnacentral:tRNA from 1 species
GCGGACAUAACUUAAUUGGUUAAAGUACCAGACUGUCUUGCUCUGGAAACACGGGUUCGAUUCCCGUUGUUCGCCC